GGAAGUGUGGCCGAGAGGUUUAAGGCACCAGUCUUGAAAACUGGCAACAGGUAAAACCGGUUCGUGAGUUCGAAUCUCACCACUUCCA
rfam:Candidatus Profftella armatura, complete genome.